GGGGAUGUAGCUCAGUGGUAGAGCAUUUGCCUGUCAUGUGCAAAGACCCAGGUUUGAUACCCAUCACCU
rnacentral:tRNA from 1 species